rnacentral:tRNA from 1 species
GCCCUGGUGGCAUAAAUGCUAAGUGCUUAGCUGCUAACCCAAAGGUUGGUGGUUCGAAUCCACCCAGUGGCU